UACGUAGGGCGCAAGCGUUGUCCGGAAUUAUUGGGCGUAAAGAGCUCGUAGGCGGUUUGUCGCGUCGGAUGUGAAAGCCCGGGGCUUAACCCCGGGUCUGCAUUCGAUACGGGCAGACUAGAGUGUGGUAGGGGAGAUCGGAAUUCCUGGUGUAGCGGUGAAAUGCGCAGAUAUCAGGAGGAACACCCGUGGCGAAAGCGGCUCUCUGGGACGGUACUGACGCUGAGACGCGAAAGCGUGGGGAGCAAACAGG
rnacentral:rRNA from 1 species